rnacentral:tRNA from 1 species
AUUACUAUAAUUUAAUCUUAAAAAUACAGGUUUGUGGUACCUGAGAUGUGAACUUAAAUCACUAGUGAUC